GUUAACGAUUAAUCGAUUAAUUGAUCGUUAAUUUAAACAACGAUUGAUCAUGGAAAUGAUAGAAAAUUGACAUCAUUACUCUGCAGUCAAAAUAUAUUGUAUAUAUAUAU